rnacentral:rRNA from 1 species
AUACGGAGGGUGCAAGCGUUGUUCGGAAUCACUGGGCGUAAAGGGCGCGCAGGCGGUUUGGUAAGUCAGAUGUGAAAGCCCACGGCUCAACCGUGGAAGUGCAUUUGAAACUGUCAGACUUGAGUACUAGAGGGGAAAGUGGAAUUCCCGGUGUAGAGGUGAAAUUCGUAGAUAUCGGGAGGAAUACCGGUGGCGAAGGCGACUUUCUGGCUAGAUACUGACGCUGAGGCGCGAAAGCGUGGGGAGCAAACAGAAUUAGAAACCCGAGUAGUCC